GUGUCAGCAGCCGCGGUAAUACGUAGGGGGCGAGCGUUGUCCGGAUUCAUUGGGCGUAAAGCGCGGGCAGGCGGCCCGCUCAGUCGGCCGUGAAAGCGCCGGGCUCAACUCGGCGAGGUCGGGCGAUACUGGCGGGCUCGAGGCUGGUAGAGGGCGGUGGAAUUCCGGGUGUAGUGGUGGAAUGCGUAGAGCUCCGGAGGAACACCAGUGGCGAAGGCGGCCGCCUGGGCCAGUCCUGACGCUGAGCCGCGAAAGCGUGGGGAGCGAUCCGGAUUAGAAACCCCCGUAGUCC
rnacentral:rRNA from 1 species